UUUAGAGAGCAUAUCAUUCGCCUUGGGCCUCUCGAUUUCAAAAGAUUAAAUUUGUAAGAGACUUGCCCAACCUCAAAGUUACCUGCAGACACUUGUGGGCUAAUUUGCUUGCUUGCAAAGCGGCGGCUUGAUUUACUACUUGAUGGCUUUGCACCGUUAUGUGGUGGUUGACUGUCAUAAAUGGUAAAGUUGGUGCCAAGAAAAUCGGAGCUUAACUUCCCCACAUAGGCAUUGCUUCCUUGGGAUAAGUCUUCAGCAUCAAGAGAUAUUAUAUACUCAGUAUGAGCUCCAUGCCUAUAUCUCCG
rnacentral:misc_RNA from 1 species